AGCUUACGUCACCGCAAUAGUAGUUUCUAGACUGGAGACGUCCCGACACGGCAACUCGUUCAGGUCAAACCCAGAAUGGGUCUCCCGCCAGGGGUCCCAUCAUUGCCAAAAAGAGGGGCUGCUGCAGCAGAGCAAAGACAGCACUGACUAGCGACUGCAUGCCUGUCAGACUGCCAAACUGCGAGGAGGGGUACCUGGCGUAAUAAAACGGGGUGAUACUCACGUGUAGUCCAUGUCCUCUGGUCCUGGGAAAGGUUCCAGGGGCCAGUUGAAGAAGCAGUUCAGGAAGACCAAUCCAGCACAGGCUGCCCACACUACCAGAAUAGUAAUGAAUGGGAAGGUGACAGCAGAGGAGGCAUAGGAGCCAAUCAUCAGGGCGAUGAAGGUUGAACGCAGGUCCCCGAACAUGUUUGGCAACUGGUGAAAGAGACAGACAGUUGGCACAAUUAGCCAGCCGUUCAUCCUCAGAAGCCCGUCCAGCGGGACCAGGGGCUUCAUCUCCACCCCGUCCCCCAGAGCUACCACGGCACCAUCAUCGUCUUCAUAGUUGUAAAUGUAUUCAUCCGAUGCUUGUGUCAUCCCCAGGG